UACGGGGGGGAGCAAGCGUUGUUCGGAUUUACUGGGCGUAAAGGGCUCGUAGGCGGCCAACUAAGUCAGACGUGAAAUCCCUCGGCUUAACCGGGGAACUGCGUCUGAUACUGGAUGGCUUGAGAUUGGGAGAGGGAUGCGGAAUUCCAGGUGUAGCGGUGAAAUGCGUAGAUAUCUGGAGGAACACCGGUGGCGAAGGCGGCAUCCUGGACCAACACUGACACUGAGGAGCGAAAGCCAGGGGAGCAAACGGG
rnacentral:rRNA from 1 species